CAGAGUAGGUGCAAAGCGUAAAGUGCCGCGGGAUGGGAUGUUGUCCGUGGACGAAGCGGCGAGAGCCGCGCGGUUUUGCUCCGCAUCCGCUGC
rnacentral:ncRNA from 1 species